AGAGUUUGAUCAUGGCUCAGAGCGAACGCUGGCGGCGUACUUAACACAUGCAAGUCGAACGAGGAUCAUCGGUGUAGCAAUGCAUUGGCGGUCCUAGUGGCGCACGGGUGAGUAACACGUGGGUGACCUGCCCUGGAGUUCGGGAUACCCCCUCGAAAGGGGGGCUAAUACCGGAUACGUUCCCUGGUUGAAAGAUCGGGGAGGAAAGGUGGCGCAAGCUGCCGCUCUUGGAGGGGCUCGCGGCCUAUCAGCUAGUUGGCGGGGUAACGGCCCACCAAGGCUAUGACGGGUAGCUGGUCUGAGAGGACGACCAGCCACACGGGGACUGAGACACGGCCCCGACUCCUACGGGAGGCAGCAGUGGGGAAUUUUCCGCAAUGGGCGAAAGCCUGACGGAGUGACGCCGCGUGUGGGACGAAGGCCUUCGGGUCGUAAACCACUGUCAGUGGGAAAGAAGGGUGUCGGGGCUAAUACCCCUGGCAUCUGACGGUACCUGCAGAGGAAGCCCCGGCCAACUCUGUGCCAGCAGCCGCGGUAAGACAGAGGGGGCAAGCGUUGCUCGGAAUUACUGGGCGUAAAGGGCGCGUAGGCGGGAUGGCAAGUCGGUCGUGAAAUCCCUCGGCUCAACCGAGGAACGUCGAUCGAUACUGCUGUUCUUGAGGAUUGCAGAGGAGACUGGAAUUCCCGGUGUAGCGGUGAAAUGUGUAGAGAUCGGGAGGAACACCGGUGGCGAAGGCGGGUCUCUGGGCAAUUCCUGACGCUGAGGCGCGAAAGCGUGGGGAGCAAACGGGAUUAGAUACCCCGGUAGUCCACGCUGUAAACGAUGAGCACUAGGUGUGGGGGGGUUCAGUCCCUUCCGUGCCGCAGCUAACGCAUUAAGUGCUCCGCCUGGGGAGUACGGCCGCAAGUUGAAACUCAAAGGAAUUGACGGGGGC
rnacentral:rRNA from 1 species